UCUCCGUUGGUGAACCAGCGGAGGGAUCAUUACAGAGUUGCAAAACUCCCGAACCAUUGUGAACGUUACCUAUCCCGUUGCUUCGGCGGGCGGCCCGGGCCCCGCGCCCGGCGCCCCCCGGCCCCCCGUGGGCGCCCGCCGGAGGUAAACCAAACCCUUGAAUUGCAUGGCCUCUCUGAGUCUUCUGUACUGAAUAAGUCAAAACUUUCGACAACGGAUCUCUUGGUUCUG
rnacentral:misc_RNA from 1 species